rnacentral:rRNA from 1 species
UGGAGGAAAGCAGGGGAUCGUAAGACCUUGCGCUUUUGGAGUGGCCGAUGCCUGAUUAGCUAGUUGGUGGGGUAAGGGCCUACCAAGGCAACGAUCAGUAGUUGGUCUGAGAGGACGACCAGCCACACUGGGACUGAGACACGGCCCAGACUCCUACGGGAGGCAGCAGUGGGGAAUUUUGGACAAUGGGCGAAAGCCUGAUUCAGCAAUGCCGCGUGAGUGAAGAAGGCCUUCGGGUUGUAAAGCUCUUUCAGUCGAGAAGAAAAGGUUGUGACUAAUAAUCACAACUUAUGACGGUACCGACAGAAGAAGCACCGGCUAACUACGUGCCAGCAGCCGCGGUAAUACGUAGGGUGCGAGCGUUAAUCGGAAUUACUGGGCGUAAAGGGUGCGCAGGCGGCUUUGUAAGUCAGAUGUGA